AAGUAUUGACCUACCCGAUCAGCCAAGGGGAAAGGUGCUAGGGGUGUCUGAGCCUAGCAGAGGGGGGCAGGAAGGUGUGUGUGUGGCUAGUCCUGCCCUACUGUUGUCAGCUUGAGCAGACUCCAGCCACCAAGCAAGUUAACUACAAUCUGCUGUAUGGAAUGAUUUUCUCUUUCGCAGGGGAGACGUGUUUCUUCUCUUAAGUGCGRUAUGCUGGCACGGAGCAGCGUUUCCUUCCAAUACUCAAAACUCACGUCGCUGAGGCUGUGAAACAAGGGUAUGAAGAGCAGGAACAGGAGUGGCCGGUAUCGUUCAUCCUGGGUUCUCCAGAAGCCUGUAGUUGUAAGGAAUUGCGUCAUGUGAAGCAUCCUCGCUGCCAUGUCCUUGGUGACCUGGGACAUCCAGUUGGGGCCACCCUGCCGUGCGUCACCGUCUUCUCCCAUGGGUUCCUUGGGCCUGCUGGCAGGGGAGACACUGGGAGGACCAUUCUGUUGCUGCCAAGACAAUAACCCUACAGAUUCAAAGUCUGCAAAAUGGGGAUGCACUGAUGCUGAGAUGUCUCUGCCUGCAUGUUCCCGAAGCAGAUUUUGGUAUCCCUGGCAGCUCCACUUGCCUGUCCACUCCUGCUUGGGUGAGUUUCUGCCUGCUCAGUGUGGCUUGGAGCACCAGACUCUUGGGCUGGGAAGAACUUGGCUAUGCUGUUGCAUUGCCUUGGAGGGCACUGGUCCCCCAUGUUCUGUAAGCGCCGUCUCACGAGCUCCAAGACGUGUUCAUUGAUGCCCUGAACAGCCUGAAGCUGCAUCACGAGGGAUGUCCGGCUGUAUGUGGAGCUUGUGGGCUGCCAGCAGUAUGCACCUCCCUGCCAGGAUGAGAGACUUGGCUGCAGGACACAUCUCCUCCUUGAAUACCUCAUCGCCGGACUCCUCAGCCAGCCUGGAACAGAAGCUGCUGGUCACAGCUCUUCACCAUCCCCUGAGCACCACCCUUGAGCAGAAGGGGCAAGGACGCUCAGCCGGUGAUGGCCGGCCCUGGUGUCCCCCUGCUGUGCAUUUGAUGUGGGUCCAAGGGAGAGCCUUUAGCCCUAUGGCUCAGCCAGUUUGGCCUUGCCAAAUGCUAGUGAUAUGACUCAGGCUUUAGCACAAUAAUUAGCCAUGCCAGGUCUGGUCAUUGCCCAGUAAUAAUUGCCUAAUCUGUGAUUUUGAGCUCCAGUUUACUGAAACAUUCAGUAAAUUGGAUGACUAUUACUUUAAUGGUGUGUUUAGAUCAAAUAUUGCAUGUUUGGGUUUUGCUUACUUUGUGCAGCUGCGAGGUUUUACCCCAAAAGAAAUCAGUCCAUACUUGGAGGAGGACUAGCAGAUUUAGAACAUCCUUAUAUAAUUAAGUUUGUGAGACAGUCAGAAAGAAGUGGUAGCAAAUAAGCUUUUCAAAACAUAAAAAAAAAAACCCUGAGUGGACCAAGACUGAGGAGGAAUAACCCCCCUCCAGCAACACCUACAUAUCCUGGUGAAGAAUUUGGGAUGCUGACAACUCACUAUACCCUUCCACUUGAGGAAGAAGGGCCCUCAACCUUGGUGCAUGGAUGCUGCGAAGAGAAUUUCACAGUGGAGAGAAGAGGCAGGUACUUGUAUCUAUUGAUUUUAUUGUGUCACUAAUGAUUCUUAACAGAAAUUGGGUGAUUUGGAUUACCAAUGUUAGUAUUCUUGUAAUGGGACUAAUAAUAAGUGGCUGUUGUAGUUUGCUUUGCCUGCUAAAACAACAAUCAGAUCAAUCAAACUAACAAUAGUUAAAAAUUCUUUUGGACCUGCGAGCUCUGUCCUUUGGUUCCCCAUAACUAAACUGUGCGGGCAGUAAGGUUCAGGCAUGUCUUGAGGGUGGAAAGCACCCUGCAGUGAGAGCUUGAAGCUAGUCUUACUCCUCAAGAAGAAAGUUAAAGGCAGGUGGGUCACAGACCUGCGACAGGAGCUGCACAGCUUGCACACUCUGCUCUCCUCAGGACCCUUCUUAGCUGGCCAGUGGGACUGUCGGGCAGUCACCGCCUGGGAAAGGGGGUAAUGCAAAGCACUGGGGGUCAGCACCCUCAGGCACUGAGGAAGGAAGGGCAUUUUUCCACGGGGCUGGUACAGCACAGUUGUCUCGCCCAAAGGGCUGACCAAGGACAGGCUGUGCUUAGGUGUAUGAGAGAUGUCAGGAAGAGCUGUGAAGAGCAGGGAGGGAAGCAACAUGGAGGACAGGAUGGUACAYAGGUCAGACAAGACGCAGGAAGGCUGCAAGGAGCAAAGGGAGCUGAACGGGUGGCAGGAUGCCAAAUGUUUGAAUCCCUUAGCUGGGCUCCUCCUGGGAAUUAGCAAAGCCACUGGUGGCACUGGGAGAGCGUCACCCCUCUGAUCAGCUCUGGUGGGGGGAUCAAGAUCACACAUGCAGCCAGGGGAAUGCAUGGCUGAUUUCUGGCAGCAAAGAGACACCAACAUAGUGGGCUUGAGUUCCUCUAUGCCGUGUCUCCUCCAAGCACUUAAAGAUAGCCCUGCUUUGGCCCAUCAUCUUCUCCUUUCCUAAUCCUGUUCCCCAUCCUGCACAGUUCACCAGCUGUCUUUCCCAGGAGCUGUGUCUUGGCCCAGCUGUUUCCUCUACCCCCCAUCCUUUCCUCUUCAUCAUUUUACUCUCCAGCCAUGUUCCCACCUCUCCAGCAGGGUGCAAACAGGGAGCACAGGAGAGACAGGCUCCAUGCUCUCCAAAUGCCUCCCAGCCCACAGUUUCCUUGCCCUCCCUUCCUUCUCCUCCCUAGCCCCCAAAUCUGCUCAGGAGACACCCAGCAAAAUUACCUUCUUGCAACAGAAGCAAGUUCUUCAGUGGCUUUGGCUAAUUUUUCUGCAUUCUCCCCUAAAUUGGGAAAGUCCUGACAAAUCCCAUCUUUCCAUUCCAGGGCUAUGAUUAGAUGACAGAGCUGCGCAGACAUGGGGCAAAGGAUCCUUUCAACAGUUUUGUUUUCUGUUAUAGUCACAAGGUCAUAAAGAGGCUCCAUUGUGUCCUGCCUGGAAACAGGAAAUAAACCCUGGGAUUAUUUGGGAUCCUUUGCA
rnacentral:lncRNA from 1 species